rnacentral:misc_RNA from 1 species
GAUGAAGAACGUAGCAAAAUGCGAUAAGUAAUGUGAAUUGCAGAAUUCAGUGAAUCAUCGAAUCUUUGAACGCACAUUGCGCCCGCCAGUAUUCUGGCGGGCAUGCCUGUUCGAGCGUCAUUUCAACCCUCAAGCACAGCUUGGUGUUGGGACUCGCGUUAAUUCGCGUUCCACAAAUUGAUUGGCGGUCACGUCGAGCUUCCAUAGCGUAGUAGUAAAACCCUCGUUACUGGUAAUCGUCGCGGCCACGCCGUUAAACCCCAACUUCUGAAUGUUGACCUCGGAUCAGGUAGGAAUACCCGCUGAACUUAAGCAUAUCAAUAAGCGGAGGA